rnacentral:rRNA from 1 species
AUUGAACGCUGGCGGCAUGCCUUACACAUGCAAGUCGAACGGCAGCACGGGAGCAAUCCUGGUGGCGAGUGGCGAACGGGUGAGUAAAGUAUCGGAACGUGCCCAGUCGUGGGGGAUAACGUAGCGAAAGUUACGCUAAUACCGCAUACGAUCUAUGGAUGAAAGCGGGGGAUCGCAAGACCUCGCGCGAUUGGAGCGGCCGAUAUCAGAUUAGGUAGUUGGUGGGGUAAAGGCUCACCAAGCCGACGAUCUGUGGCUGGUCUGAGAGGACGACCAGCCACACUGGAACUGGGACACGGCCCAGACUCCUAGGGGAGGAAGCAGUGGGGAAUUUUGGACAAUGGGCGCAAGCCUGAUCCAGCCAUGCCGCGUGCAGGAUGAAGAUCUUCGGGUCUUAAACUCCUUUCGAUCGAGACGAACGGCUUCCGGGUAACAUCCGGGAGAGUGACGGUACCGAGAGAAGAAGCCCCGGCUAACUCCGUGCCAGCCGCCGCCGUAA